AAUAAAAAUAAUAUAUAUAUAGUUUAGAUUUUGAUUCGUUAUUUGUUUUGAUUCGAAACGAAAAAUCCAAAGUUUUAUUGGAACCGUGCAUAUGAGUUUUAUAUUAAAAAUAUAAAGUAUAUAGUGUGAACACAUUUAUGAAUAUAGUGUGAACGCAUUAGCAUAUGUAUUAUCAAAUUAUCGUGAGGCUGCCACGUGUCUAUUAUAGUGUGAAUACAUUUAUUACAAUGUUUCUCCUUUAAUAUAUAAGGGAUUCUUGCUCUCUACUUUCUUCACAUCAAGAACAAAGACAAAAAAAAAAACAGAACACUGAAAUUUACGUUAUACCAAUAAAAUGGCAUUAUCAAAGCUUCAAUUUGUAGUCAUCUUCGUCUUAUGUUCUCACCUUGUUACUUGCCAGUCAAAAGGUGUAAGAGAGAAUGCUGAUCAUCCUUCACAGUGUGUCUACAGAGGUUCGUGUGAGAGCAACAGAGACUGUAAGAGUCAAUGUGGACCGCCUGAGUUUCCACCGGAGACCAUUGGCUCAUGCCAAGCUAGUCCUAGGGGUCAUGGCAACAUUUGUUGUUGUGCUAAAGAUUAAUAUUCUCUUUCCAGCUAAAAAGAAUAGUUUUUAUCUACUUUGAAAUAACUAUAUGUAAUAGUUGUUCUAAAGUUUUUUAAUCAAAAAAAAAGAAAGAAGUUUACUACGUUUUUUGUAUUAUAUUUAAAAGAAACAUCUACAAGAUUGGAUGUUUUUUGUUAUUCACUAUUUCAUAAAUUAGUAGAAUUCUAAAGAGAUCGUUAGGAAUCUCACCUCAGAGCUAAUCGAAUUUAUAAAAAAAAAAAUAUAAGAGAUAUAAAUUAAUUUAUAAUUUUUUGGUCGGUUUUUGAAUUGAUAAUCUAUGAUGCUUUAGCAAUUAGCAGUAAUCAAUAUGUUACAUAAAAUUUGAUAACUUUUGUUAAGUGAUAAAUGAAAUAGAAAAUUCAAAUGAAAAAGAAUUAACUAUAUAUGCAUUUUUCAACAAGCUAAAUUAUAUUUUUUUUGUGAAUACAAAGAUUUCCAAUUACAAUCAAAUAUUAUUACAUAAGACGGCGAGAAAGUUUUUAGCUAGUAUGAUCAAUAUGACAAUAUAUAAUCAUUUGUGUGGUUAUUAGAGAGAAAUUUCCUACACGUGCCUAGACUUCACUUCGAAAUGUGUUACAAAUGAAUAUGUUAACUUCACUUUGACCAUUGAUUAUAAGUUCAUAACUACGUAGAGAGCCCUCUUAUGUUUUGCAUGUGCAUGCGGAAAUAUAAAAUAAAAACCCGCUUAUUAACAAACGACCAUGAAACGAAAUUAUAAAAUUAAAUUUCCUUUUUUUUGAAUAAACUUGGGAUGAUUUAGAUGGACCUCCAUAAUCAUCCUAUAAUCAUGGAAACUGACUUCAGAAAAAAAGAAAGAAAAAUGAACUUUUAAAAAAUCUUUGCCACACUCAAACGAAACUAAAAACAAUGAAACUAGAACUUUAGAUGGACCUCCAUAAUCAUGGAAACUGAUUUCAGAAAAAAGAAAGAAAAAUGAACUUUUAAAAAAAAUCUUUGCCACACUCAAACGAAACUAAAACAACAAUGAAGCUGGAACUAUUAAGAAAAGAAAAGAAACAAUAAAUAUAUGAUAAGGGAAACAAAAACAGUUAAUUUUUCAAAAAAAAAAACAGUUAAUUAACUGUUAUACAAGAAAAUUUAUCUUUUGAACGUGUCGAACAGUCGAAGUGGUUGAUUGAGAAAAUUUUAUCAUAAUACAAUAGGUAGUUUUCUUAUUUCAUGCAUAAGCAUACAUUAAAUAAUAAAUUAUACAUACAUACACCUCUAAAUAUUAUACAUAUCUAUGAAACGGCCAUACAAAGUGUAUAUAUUUUUUAUAAAUUUAUAUAUAAUUUAUAAAUUAUAUUAUAUGUGGACCAUUCACCUAAUAACUGUAUAUUUAAGUAAUAAUAUUUGACAAAGCAUUUUAUUGACAUUUCCCUUAAAUAUAUUCAUAAUUCUCAAAAUUGCACUAAUUUUUUUAGAACAUCAAAAUUAAUUUCAAUAGUAGGACACGCAUCAUUAUAUUUAUUUAUAGGAAAGAGAACGAGUCUAAAGCUUUCACAUAUUAUAUGACCAGAAAAAGUUAAAAAAUUUCUAAAUUAGAUUCGUUUAAAACGGAACAUAAAAAUGUGAGCAGGUUAAAUUAGAUAUUUUUAUUAUGUAUAUAUGUAAGAAUAUUUCUUCUUCUGUUGUGAGAAAUAGAAUACUUCAUCUUUUUCCUAACUUUUUAACUCAAUAUCAAUCCAUUUCUAUAAUCCAAGAUGAGGAAAUCUCUUCAAUUCUUGUUCACCUUCUUUACUAUGUUUAUCAUUCUCUCACUAGGAAUGAUGGCAGAUGCGCAAAAAAAGGAACGAAGGUGUACAUAUAAUGUCCGAGUUGACACACACAAGUCUUGUGAUGUACUGUGUAUUUAUCAUUGUAAAAAGCGAUUUGGACCUAUUGGUAAAAGUGUUUGUGAGAAGGAGCUUAAAGGAUAUUGUCAAUGCUCAGCUAUUUGCAAGGGUUCUCGAUAAAUGUUGGAAAGAUAAUGUUCAACAAAAUUAUAUAUUAUUUUUUUAACAAUAAAUAUCUAAAUAUUUAUGUUGAUACGACAAUAAAGCAUCAAAAUAUUUUUUAAGAUUUGUUAAUUUAUUUAUAAUAAAUAAUAGUUUUUAUAAGUACAACUGUGAAUAACAAGAUUGGACUUUUUAUAAAAUAAAUGAUCACAGUGUUAUUAAAUGUAGCCAAAAUUGCGUAUAAGAUCGUUAAAGAUCAAGAAGAGUUAAAAAAUAAAAAGAUAGAGAUGCAAUCACAGCCAAUUUUUAAAUGUGUGAUCAUCAACUAACAUGUAAGAUUUGUAUACAAUGUAAAAUAAAUGAAACAGCUAGAGUUGGUUAUUAAAAUGGUAAAUGAAAAAUUGAACUAAUGCAUUGCUUAUUUAUGGAAAAUUAAAGAAUUGGUGUAUUAAAAUAAUAAUAGAAUUAUUUGGUCAUAACAAGUUGUCGUUGUAAAAAAUAUGGAUCGUAUUUGAAAAUCUAUUACUUCGGUCAAAAUGAAAAAAACAUUGAGUCUAAAACGGUUAAUCGUUUAUCAUAUUGACUUUUUAUAGCGGUCAAUAUGAUAAACCAAAUUAUAUUAGGGUGAUAUUCGCUGUGAAUCAUCUAGCUCUUCCGUGAUUAGAACACAGUCUUCUAUCUCAAUCCAAGUUCUUUGCGUUAAGUAAAGAUAUUUAAAUAUCAAUCAAUUUGUUUAUUUUUCUUUCUUAUCUCUUCAGACCAAUGGAACAAAAAAAAAAUUAAUUGUACAUUAUUGUAUGGAUCAAAAUAUUGAGAAUUAAAUGUGUACCCUUGCAUCAAAAACAAUCAUAUUUGAUGUUAUACCAUGAUGCACAAUAUAUUGUUUGCAUAUAAUUUUACACAUGUUAUCCAAUAUUUUCUCUUUGAUUCAACUCUUCUAAGAUUUGAAAGGGUAAAAGACAUAAAAAUAAGGAACAUUGCCAAAAAUACCUAAUUCAUAAUACAACAUUUCAUGUUUACAUUAACCAUUUUUACCUUAACUUUAAAGAAGGAAAAAACAUUUAUAACCCUAGAGUUAACUAAUCUAAACUUAGGGUGUAGAGUUAAGGGACGAUGUAUGAUUUUUUGGAAUUUUGUGAAAUUUAGGAUUUUAAUAAUGAUAUAAAUAAAUACUUAAAAAAUACAACUUUUUUUUAGAAAAAAGUAGUUUGAAAAAUAAUUUUUGAUUUUCAAAAAAAAAAAAAUUUGAAAACAAAAUUCGAAUUUUUUUUUAUAAAAAGUUUGAAUUUGAAAUUAUAAAAUGUUACAUUAUGUAUUAUUUUUUAUAUAUAGAGAGAACAAGAGUAUAAGAAUUAUUUGGCUUAAAAUGUAUUUUUGAAAAUGUCUAUUUAGUGAUUGUAAACAUGAAUAAUGGUACCAACAAAGCGGUAAACAUGAAAAUCCCCCUAAAAAUAAAUAUUAUUACUCAAAAUGUGAAUAUCCAUCAACGGAAAAUGGUGUACCAACCAUUGCUAAUUCAAAUAUAUAAGCAAUUUUAUAAUAUCUUUAAUAGUUUCUAACUUAAUGGAAUUUUAUAAAUUUUAGUAAAAAAUAACUAUAUAUGUGCAAAGAACAUACACAUAUUUAUGCUAUUAUAUUUACUAUGUUUAUAUAAUAUAAUAUAUUAAAAUAUAUUUUCAUAAACCAAUAUGUAUUUGUCUUAUUUCAUAUAUAAACAUACACUAAACCUUAAAUUAUACAUACAUACAACUCUAAGUAUUAUACAUAUUCAUGAAAUGGCCAUACAAAUUCUAUAAUUUUUAUAAACUUAUGUAUAAUCAAUAAAGUAUAUUAUGUGUGGGCCAUCCACCUAAUAACUGUAUAUUUAUGUAAUAAUGUUUGAGAAAGUGUUUUAUUGACAUUUCCUUUAAAUACAUUUAAAAUUUUCAAAAUAGCAAUAAUUUUUGAUAAAUUUCUUGAAAUAUCAUAAGGUGGCUAACACUUUUUAAAAAAUACACUCGAUCAAAAAUAUUUUAAAUAAAUUAUCUUGGAGGCCAAAGUUUUUACAUAUAAAUAAAUUUGAUGUUAAAUUGAGAAAAGUUCUAUGAGCACAAAAUUAUAAAGGAUUAAUGAUGAAACAUAUAUUUUUCAGUUGAGAUAUAUUCAGAGACCAUAAAUAUUAAUAAAAAUUGAAAUUUCACAUAGUUUCACUAGUCUUUGUUUCAUUUGGGUUUUUCUCUCUACAUUAUUAGAAUUGUUCUGUAUAUAUAAGACGAUGAAGAAAAAAACACUAUUUUGUUUGAUAUAAGGAUCCGACUGGUGAUCAUUCUGGAAACAAGAAGAACGAACAAGAAAAGAAUGUAGAGGAAUAAAAUAUUAGGAAUGAAAAAGAAUGGUUAUUUUUUCUCAAAUCUAACGAGAAAUAAUUUUGUUCUUUAUUUUUCUACGAAAGAAAUGAGAGGGAAUGAAAGGAAAUAUUAUUCCUUGUGAAAGGUGAUUUUUUCUAUGAAUGUUAGGAAAUACAUUAUUCAUCGUCAUUCCUUGGUCAUCAUUUAUACCACUAAUGUAUUUACUUUUCAAAAUCGAAGAAUGACAAAAAAAAUCAUAAAUACAAUAAACAUAUUAAUGGUUCUCAAAGAAGAACCAAAGGUUGAAUUAGAGACUCUAAAUUCUGUGUUGAUGGAAACU